CCCCAACUAUUGGAGAAAGUUCCAUUUUAGUAGGUAUCGUGGUUAUUGAUUAUUCCACUGCUGAAAUUGAUGAUAUUUCAAGUUCACUGAAAACUUUGACAGUUUGACACCCCCUAGCAGCCUUUAAAAAAGUGCUAGAGGGCUGCGAUUUGCGUCAUUGGUCAUCCCUUCGAAAUGCCUUUCCAAGUGUUGAAUGUACAUUAUUCUAUUUUUGGUGAAUUUUCGAAAAUAAAAAUUAGCCCAAAACUGUUGCCUUUUGCUAUCAAUUUCCAGAAAAAUCCCAUUUUUUUUCCAAGUUCAAGGUGCAAAAAAGUUUUACUUUUUCGACAAAAAUUACAAUCAACUAUUUUCAAAAAGUCUUGUUUUUUGGCAAAAAUUGUCAAAAAAAUUACUUUUUUUUGCUAUGAAAAUUGCUGAAAAUUUGUCGCCUAAUCGCAAAAGAUGAAUUAUAAUUGUACCACUUUUUUCUAAAAAUUGUUUUAACUCUCACUUUGUUGACAAAAAUUGCAAAAAAGUAAAAAGGUUGACCUUUUUGCUGAAAUUGUCACAGUCUUACAUUUUACCAACAAUUUCCAGAAAAAGUGUUUUUUCCCUAGCUUAUAAACUGCAAAAAGUCUCGUUUCUCUAAAAAAAAUUGCAACCAAUUAUUUUCAAAAAAUCGACAAAAAUUCUUGUCGUUUACGAAAUCGCUUGAAACCCCCCCCCCCCCCUCUGUUUUUUACCUCGAGGCUAAAAAUGUCAAAAAUCAUCAUAGAGUUUUCUAAAAAUCGUUGAAAAGUUUCACUUUUUGCCAAAAAUCGUUUUCCUGAGGAAAGCCUUAUUUUUCUAUUCGAUCAAGAUUCUGAUCCGGAGAUCGUCCGUCCAGCUGCCUACGUAGGUAUGAAUGAUCGAUAGAUGGGGAAAUUUUUUCAACUUUCUGUAAUCCAUGAGUUUUGUCAAAGUUACCUAUUGGCAAAGAUCGUUUUUAUAUUGUUCUAUAUGAAUCCUCAAUUCUCAUUUCAAUAGCUGUGUGGAAAAAUAUGAACAUUUGUCUUAUUUGAAUAUUAUUGAACGUGUAAGUUUCUAUUUUGGCUGUCAUUUUUACAUUCUAAACAAUGAAAAAACAAAAAAAAACACUCGUACAUAUUUUAUAUCUUCGAGUUUCGGAAGUAAACUAAUUCAGAUUUGAUAACGGUUAUCGUUAUUGAAAUAUCGCACGAAAUGUAAUAUCUGCUAUGAAAUUGUAAUUUAACUCAUAAAAAAGAUCAACUGUUCAUUUCAGUUUACAUAUAAAGUGUUAUUUCUAUUACGUAAGGAAUUGUGCUGUUCAAACGAAAAUUGUGCUCGUAUUAGGCAGGUACCGACCCACUGUGGUUGACAGAUUUGCUGAGAUACAUACAAUCAUACAUGGAUACUCUAAACUAUUCUGUAAACCAGUAUCAAGGAGCCGAAUGACGAAAUAAUACGAUUCUAUAUUCUCAUUAAAAUCAAUCUACAUAAAUGAUGUAUUUCUUGAACCAAUCACCAAUCAAAUGGUUUUCAAAUUUUUUGAUGCUUCUACUGUACUUACGACCUGUAAAAAAUGUUGAAUUGCCAUCUACCCAGUAUAAAGUAUUCUCUGAUGACGAUAACUCGUCACAAUUUAAUAAUCUAGCCAUUCGCUAUUCCGAAUUUGAAUGUGGACAUGAUUCAAUUUUCAUUGGAGCUGUCAAUCGUUUGUAUCAAUUAUCACUCGAUCUAGAACUAUUGGCAAAUAUUACAACCGGGCCAUUCCUUACACAUAAAAAUGAAUCGAUGAAUAAUUAUAAUAAAAUUUUGGCGAUAAACGAUGAAGACGACAGUUUGAUAACUUGUGGAACCGCAUCAAUGUGCACCAUUUACAAUUUACAUCGAAACGAUAUUAUAUGCAAAUCAAAUUCGAGAAAAGUAAUUCAACCAGUUGUGACAAAUAACGAAAAUGCUUCAACGGUAGCUUUCAUGGGCACGACUCAUAUAUAUGUGCCUGAAUUCGACGGCGAUGCAUUAAAGAAGCGACUAUGGAUUUUUCAAUCGAAACUUGGUUAUUUUUCAAACGGAACUGAACAACUGGAAGUGCCAGCUAUUGCUGCAAGAGAUAUCAAUACUCUCGAGAGACACAAAACAAUUUUAUUUCUCUGAAACUUCUCGCAAGGAUUAUAUCGUCGAUUAUGUAUAUGGAUUUCUAUGUGGAAAAAACAAAAUGUACAUUUUAACAAUUCAACCUAAAUCUAUUACGAAAGAAUCUCCGUAUAUUUCAAAAUUGAUUAAAACAUGUGCUCAAGGUUUUAUUUUAGAUAGCUACACAGAGAUGCCAAUUGAGUGCAUUGUAAAAGGAAAACUGCGUUAUAAUUUGCUGCAAGCAGCAUAUGUAGGUAAAGCUGGUACGAAGUUAGCCGAGUCAAUGAAUGUUCAUCAUGAUGACGAGGUACUAUUCGCGAUAUUCUCUCCGAGCCAAGACGUUUACUCGAAAAAACCUCUUGAGCGAAGUGCUCUAUGCAUGCGUUCGUUAAAAUCCAUUGGCCAGAAAGUUGAUAAAAAUGCCGAGUACUAUUUACUUCCCGAAUCAACUGAUUAUUGCCAAAAAAAUUCGAACGGGCCUGUUUUGGGGAGACUGUCAUUAAAAAUGCGUAGUGCAUUAACAUUCAAUUCACAUAUCACUGCAAUUGCAGUGAAGUCUUGCAAAAACCGGACUGAUGUUUUCGUUGGUACAAGUACUGGCCAUCUGAAAACGAUCGCCGUGGAGAAUUUUACCUAUGCCUACGAACAUGGAGAUCUUACGAUAGAUCAAGAUUCUCCAGUUAAUAAAGAUCUGAUUUUUUCUUCGAAAGAAGAUUACUUGUUUGUAAUGACCAGACGUAAGCUCACCAAAGUUGAUUUACGCGCGACCUUUUUAGAACCUAAUACCGGUACCUAAAUAUGUGAAAAUAUUGUAAUCAUAGACUGAUGGUAAUAGAUAGGUAAAUAAGAUUAAGUAAAGUUUAAAAAAUUAAUAAACUUUUUUCAAUGGCCUGCUUUUUCUGAUAUUGCCAAAGUCUUACCUACUUUGUGUCAAAAAUAGUAAAAAGUCUCAUCUCUUGUGAAAGUUGCCAAAUUAUCUCGUCUCUGGCUAAAAAUUGUCGUUCUUUCGUAAAAAAUAUAAAAUGUCUUAAUUUUUUCCCCAAAGAUUGCCCAAAUAGUCGGGUAGCCUGCUUAAGGAUCUAUUGCACCCUCCCCCCGGCCGAUCCUCCGGGACAACUUGCAAACUAAUUUCAAUACGCUUCGAAGUCAACUGCAUGGGGGAUUUCAAGUCAUUUUGGAGCAUCCAGCGAUUUUUUGAAAAUUACUGGAGCCUCCAGUAGAUUUUUGAAACUUUAAAUUUCCUAAAAAUUUCAUCAAACGGAGAUGGAAAGUCAAAAUUUAUUCUGCAAACUAAUUUCAAUGGUUUACGAAGUCAUCUGCUGGUGGAUUUCAAGUCGUUUUGGAGGCUCCAGCGACUUUUUGAGAUCCCGUAUGGUGUUUUUUGGAAAAUUGAAAUUUCCAAAAAGUAGCUGGAAGCUUCAAAAUCAUUUGAAACCAUUUGAAUCCACCAUGUAGUCGACUUCAUAUCGUAUUGAAAUUAGUUUGCGAAAGUAUAUUUCAGCUUGCCAACUCCAUUUUGGUAAAAUGUUACUGGAAUUUCAAGUUUCAAAAAUCUACUGGAGGCUCCAGUAAUUUUCAAAAAAUCGCUGGAGGCUUCAAAACGACUUGAAAUUCACCUGCAGUCGACUUUAUAGGGUAUUGAAAUUGGUUUGCAGAAUUAAUUUUAGCUUUCCAACUCCAUUUUGAUGAAAUUUUGUGAAAAUUUAAAGUUGCAAAAAUCUGAUGGAAACUCCAGGAAUUUUCAAAUAGUCGCCAGAGGCUCCAAAACGACUUGAAAUUAACCUGCAGUGCUUCGUAGCGCAUUGAAAUUAGUUUGCAGAAUAAAUUUCAGAUUUCCAACUCCAUUUUGAAAAUCUGCUGGAGGCCCCAGAACUGCUCAAAACGGUUUGAAACAGUUUCCAAUUGAUUUGGCAUGUCGAAAAUAGAAUAUAACUCAAAUUUCAGCUUUCAUGUGGUCAAUUUGGUAAAAUAUUGAUUUUUCCCCUCAUUUUUGGCCUAAAUUUGAUUUUCAAAAAUUCACCAAAAAUCGAAAAAUGCACUUUAACCCUUGAAAUUUUGACAAGUGAUAAAUUUUUGCUUGAUCUUUCGAUCUACCUUUGUACAGUUUGAAAAAUGUUGUGCACGUCCUGUGUUGGAAUGGAACGCAAACCCUGCGAUUCCGGCCGACCUGCCAAUCAAAAUGGCCGCCAUUUUGUAAGUAGGGCCACUUUUUUUGAGUACAAGGGGUAGAAAUGUUCCUUAGGACUCCCCUUUUAAGAAAAAAGUUGUCCAGGAGGAUCGACGGGGGGGAGUGGUGCAAUAGAUCCUUAAGCGGGCUCCCCGACUAAAAAGUCUCAAAAAUUGCCUAAAAAUAUUCACUUUUUAGCAAAAUUUCAAAAAAAAAAUUUUUUUAAUCAUUAGGUACUCAAAAAUUAUGGGUUUUCCCAGAAAUUGCUAAAAGAAACCUUCCUUUUGCUAAAAUUGCCGGAAUCUCGCUUUGUGCCAAAAAUUGUUUUUUUGCCAGAAAUUGGCAAAAUUCACACUUGCCAAAAAUUGACAAAAAGUCUAUCUUUUCGACAAAGUAUAAGUAUCAUUUUUUUGCCACCAUUCUAAAGAGUUCUGUUUUAUGCUAAAAUUGUCGAAGUCUGACUUUUUUUUUUUCAAAAAUAUAGUUUUAUGCUAAAAAUUGUUUACAAGUCUCGAUUUUUUAUCAAACAAAAUAAUUUAACUUUUUAAAAUUAUAAACUAGGACAUAUGUAUGUACCUAUCUAUGUACUUAUUUUCAAUUUGGAAUGCUCUUGUUUUUUUGUUUUGUUUUUGUAAAUUAUUCUACAUUUAACUGUUUUGCUUACAUUUUGUAAUUUUUUUCCUGGUUACAAUACUGUUUUAGUUACCAAUUUUCUUUUUUUUUUUUUUUUUUUUUUUUAAAUUGAGUUCGAGUCUUGUAAGUAUUUGUACGUAUUACCUAGUCAUGUUUUUCAAUAUUGUUUUAUAUAACACCAAAAAAUAUAAGGUACAUUGAAAUAGUCAAUUUAUACGAGUAGGUAUGAUAUUUUUUCAUUAUUGUUUCAGGUUUUUUUUUCUUUUGCUUGAUAUUGCAGUAUAACGUUCAAUCAAAUCGUCUUACAUUUUGAUAGUCCAAUUAAAGAAUACCUAACAGAAUACUUAUUCGACAAAAUCCAUUUACCUGUACUGUAAACCCUAAUUUUACAACUAGAGAUCCGCCAUUGAAAGGAAAAUCUAUCAGUUGAAAUUCUGGUUGUCCAAUUUUCUUUUUUUUUCUUUUUUUUUACAUUUUGUUAUGAAAUUAAAUAGUUUACUUUUUUACAAAAAAGUUGGCAAAAAAAUCUCAAUUUUUUCCUGAAAAUUGCUCAAGUUUUACUUUUUUUUGCCAGAAAUGGCCAAAAAGCGUUACUCUUACUUUUUGUCAACAAUUUUCACAAAAAAAAGUCUAUUUUUUUCAAGUUUAAAUUGCAAAAAGUCUCACUUUUAUGACAAAAAUUGCAACCAAUUAUUUUUUGAAAAAGUGUUGUUUGUUGCUAAAAUCCUCUCUUUGCCAUUUUGAAAAAAAAAACUCGUUUUUUUACUCAAAGGCUCAAAAUAUUAAAAAUCGUCAUAAAGCCUCACUUUUUUCUGAAAAUUGUUGAGAAAAUUCGUUUUUUUUUUGCAAAAAAUACUGUAAAUUGUUAAUCUCACUUUUUCGACAAAAAUCGUUGCCAAUUAGAUAUGUAACUAUGUCUCGUAUUCUUAAAAACCCUUGCUUUUCGCCAAAAAUUAAGAAAAAAAUCUCGUCCUUUCAUCAAAUUGCUGAAAAAGAAAACUUCGAUUUUUAUUUGAAGACUAAAAAUAUCAAAAAUCGUCAUAAAGCCUCACUUUUUUGCUGAAAAUUGCUAGGAAAUUUCACUAUUUUCCAUAAUAAUUAGGUAUUAAAAAUUGCUACUUUUUUAAAAAAAUUGGGGGAAAAAUUUUUUUGCAGCAAUUGCCAAGUCUUACUUUUUUGCCAGAUAUUGUCAAAAAAGAAGCCUGUUAAAAUUUGCUAAAAUCUCGCUUUUUUGCCAGAAAGUUUCUGAAAAUUUUCACAUUCAUGUUAAAAAUUGCCAAAAAGUGUUGCUUCAUCUGUGAAAAGUUGCAAAAUUGCCUCACUUUUCUGGAAAAAGUUUGGAGAUGUUGUCAUUUUUUUGAAUUUUAUUAUUGAAUUUCAAUUGGAAUGUUACUUAAGUAAUUGUUUUGUAAUUUUUUUUAAAAAUUGUUGCUUGAAAUGUUGUGUUGUUGUUUUUUUGUGAUUUUUUUUCCACAUUAUAAUGUUUUUGCUCAAA